rnacentral:RNase_P_RNA from 2 species
CUGGGAAGAGGCGCAAAUUGCUCUUUCUAACUUGUUAGAAGGGGAGGAAAGUCUGGACUCCAUAGGAGAGGAUACCAGCGAAAGGCUGGGGGCCGUAAGGCUACGGAAAGUGCAACAGAAAGUAUUCCGCGGCUUAUCUUCCUUCGGGGAGAUAGACCGACAGGGUGAAAUGUCUGUUUUAGGAACAGACCCCAUCCGGAGUAAUCCGGAUGAAGCGGCAAACCCUAUCCGGAGUAAGUCAAAGUCAGGUAAUGAGUGCUUCCGCUCUACCUGUAGUAAGACGCUUGAGGGCCUUGGCGACAAGGCUCCUAGAUGAAUAAUUUGCCGUCAAAGUUUUACUUUGAUGAACAGAAUCCGGCUUACUCUCUUCCCAGGUUU